rnacentral:lncRNA from 1 species
ACAAACUGAAAUUAUAGCAGGGCUUCAGCGUUUUUUUGGCAAGUCCGAAUCCAUUAGGUAACCUGUCCUCCGUCUUUUGUCUCACCUAGCGUCAAAAUCAACAUCACCUGCUAAUAUUUUUAUCUACAGAAUAUUUACUUGUGUUUUACUAGGUGUAAGUAAUAUAUGCAUGUGUUGUAUUAUUUGCAUAUAUAGAGAGAAAGAUUAUAUACUAUAGAUACAAGUCAUUUGUCACAUAUUAAGCAAAUACUUUUAAUGUGGCUCUUUUAAAUAGUUCCUUUGUUAUUUAUUUGCUUAAAGAGGGUUUUCAAUUUUAAUGUCAAAUUUAUCAAUAAUUCCUUUUAAGCUGUGGGCUUCCUUGAACCUGUCUAAAAAAUAUUUUCUACUCAGACAUUAUAAAUAUAUUCAUAUAUAUUUUUUCAAAUGUUUUAAAAUUUUGCUUUUGAUAAUUCAAUUUUUUAUUCAUUUGGAAAAAUUAUAAGAUUAAAAUUAUAAGAAAAUAAUUCUAUUUUCUUCCCUUAAUAGAAAUCAAUUGCUGAAGUCUUAUUUACAAAACUGUCACGUAUUUUUUCUUUGCUUUUUUAUGUAUAUUGGUCUAUUUUUGAGUUUUCAAUUCUGUCUCAUUAGUCAUUUUGUCCUAUUGCUGUGCUAAAAUAGUUCUUGAUAUCUUCUCUCCUUCAAAGGGUAUCUUGGUCAUUCAUGGUUGUUCUUCCAUAUCAAUUUUAAAAUCAGAGUGAGCAUUGUAUCAACUCUUUUAGUCAAUUUGGAGAUGGUUGAUAUAUUUAAGAUAUGCCUAUGACUGUGGUAUAUUUCAUUAUUUAGGUUGAUAUAUGAUAAUAUGGUAAUAUUAAAUACCAUAUUAAAAUUUUACCAUAAAUAUUUCCCAUAUUUUGUUAAAUAUAUAUAAGGUAUAUAGAAAUGUGUAAUUCAUAAUACAUAGCACAUUAUAUGUAGCAUAUGUAUAAGUAUAUAUACAUAUAUUUUGAAACAGUAUAUAUCUUAAAUGUGUAUUCAAACUAUAAAUUACACACAAACAUUUAUACUUUGGAAAACUUAACUUCUAAAUUAGCAUUUUCUAAUAUUUUUUGCAUUGUAUGGAAAUGUAGUUGAUAUUUACAUUGCCCAUAUUUCUAGCAUGUUUAAUUAUUUCAUUAAUUCAAAAAUGUUACCAAUUCUUUUAUAUUUUCAUAUAUACGAAAAUAUAGGUGAUCGACAAUUUUGUUUCUUCCUUUAGAGCCUUUACUUUGUAUUCAGUUCCUUCAGAUUUAGUGCACAAUCCAGUAGACUGGUGAUAAGCCCUUUUCCUUAUCCCUAGAUUUAGUCAAAUGCCCACUAGAGGAAUCCAACCCAUUUGUUGAAAUGGGACAGUCUAACACCUAGUCAUAAGGUUAGUUUUACCUAAAAUGUUCCAGCAUACAUGAUAUACAUAUUUUCUCGAUUUCUGACAUUCUGGUACUUUACUGCAUUCCCUCAUCUGACAUAACAUGUUCUAGUUCACUUUUCUGUCUUGAAUUUCUCACCUUUUUUCAUUAAAGGAUUCUGUUAGAGAUAAAUAUUUUCCUUAGUACUAUAUAUAUAUAUAUAUAUAUAUUUAUAAUCUCACAUACUUCUUUAUUUAAUUUAAUGUAACUUUAGAUUCUCUCUGGAUUUGAUGCUUUUGUGAAAAUCUGAUGUUAUAAUGAUCAGUCUUCAAAAAAACUUUACAGCUCUCUUUAAAGCCAUUUUUUUUUUAACAUCUGUAAGUCUGAAAUGCAGUUUAAUAGCUACUAGAAAGAAUUGUCUUUGGCUCUCUUCAAUUUAUAAGCAUUUUAUGUAGAAUGUGUAGAAAUUGCAUUUUAUGUGGUAUGAAGAUUAUUUGUUUUCUGAAACUCAAAUCUUUAAACAUAGAGGAAAUGAUUAAAUUUUAAUAUGUUGUGUUUUUAACUUUGACUAAAAUCUUACAGGAAGCCAUAAAUAAAGAAUUAACAAAAUAAGUUUAUCAUCUUAAUCAUCUUGUUUAAAUUUCUUCCACAAAAUGUACUAAUUUUCUAAGUGGUAUUCUGCAAUGAUUUUUUUUUAAAUCAAAGAUGUUUUAAUAUAGAUAAAAAGUUUGGUCCGUUCUUGAAUGAAGCAAUUACCAAUGAGGAUCCAUAUUCCAACCAAUUUUCUGGCUCAUAAUGCAUUCCGAAGAGAGUUUUAUUUUCAAUUAGAUGUCAGUAGGAGGUGAAACAUACUACAGAUACAAAAAAAAAGCAAGAUCAUUACAGUUUCUCUCUGCCAGAAAUAUGACCUUCUCUUUGAAAGAAUGAAAGAUAAGCAUUUUAAUUGUAUCUUUGAAUCACAAGACUGUUGAAAAUACAUUUGCAAGGAUGAAAGGCAAUUAAAUGUUCCUGCUGAACCUGGUGUUUUUCAUUUCUUUAGUUUUGAUUGUUAAGAAUAACAUUAUUAUGGGAGACAGAGAUGAUAAAAUGUUAAAAUGUAUUAAGUCUUCUAAACAAUGCAAAACUAUUAUUUUCUUUUUUUUUGUUUUUACUUUUCCUGCAUAGCAGGUUGUUAAAAAUAGGAUAUUUAUAUUAUUUAUUUAAGAAUUCUCCAAAAUUUGAGGAUGUAUUCAAAUAACCUUCUAGGGGAUGUGUCCCUUCUAUUGAGAUGGGGCAAUAUUCCAUCUACCCAUGAGGAUCUCAGAAUAAUUUUUCUUUAUAUUUUCUCCUUAGUUUGCAGUUUUUCUCAGUAUCAAACACCUCUUUAGAAUGACUCAAAUUGUCAUGCUAUGAAUCCUAUGUAUCUGUCAUAAAAGAAAGAUGAGGACCUGUGUCUAUAUAGGGAUAGAAAUGAAAUAAGUUAUGACACUAGGAAGGCAUUUUACCCUACCAUUUUGAGUACUGAAUGAUACAAAUUCACAUUGCUUCAACCUACUUCCUAAGAUAGCUUGAUUAAAUUUUCCUAUAGAAUAGUGUAAGCCAUUUCCUGUUUUAAAAAAAAGUUCUUCUUGCUUGGGAAAGUUAGCUGCAUGGAUAAGUUAAAAAUUUUUAAAGGAUGAAUGAUUAAAAUGAUCGUUGGCUGACUUUGACUGUCUUGAUGGUAUGUUUUUAAACUCUUCUUAAAUAUUUGCAAAAUGUUCUCAUUGUUUCCAGCUAGCAUAACUUUCGUAUGAAGCACAUAUAUUUUGAUAGUUUAGAAAUAAGUAAAUAAAUGGCCAGUAUGUAGUCGUCCAUUGUUUUACUUAUUAUCUUAACACACCAGUAUCUCACAUUGAUUUGUGACCAAUUUAUGUAAAAUUUACUUAUAUUUUUUUGCAAGUUUAAAUUUAAAAAUGGUUCUUAGUGCCAUUAAUAGAUACUCUUGAAAGCCUGUAAUUUCAAAAUAUUUUAAUAAUUGUUAAGCUGUGAAACAUUUUUUUCUAUAAAUAUCAAUUAGUUCCAAUUUAUGUGUUGUUCACCUCUUCUAUAAUCUUGUUAUUUAUUUAUUCAUUUAUCAACCACUUUAUCUGUUACUAAGAGUGUUAAAUUUCUAAAUACAAUUUUGUAUUUGUUUAUUUUUCCUUUCAAUUUUGUCAGUUUCUGUUUAUUUUGAAAAUGUCUUAGGGUUUCAUAUACAUUUAUGAUUGUCUUAAGUUCUUGCAGAGUUAACCCUUUAUAAAAUGUCUCUUUUUAUCCUACUAUUCCUUUCUUCAGUCUACUUUUCCGAUGUUUUAAUUGUUGAGAUUUUCUUGCUUAUUGUUAUGUGUAUCUUUUCCCAUCCUUUUCCUUUUAACUUAUUUAAUUUUUUAGUUAAAAUGAAUUUUUAGUUGGAAGUACUUGAUAGGGUUUUCAACAUUUUACCUACUCGAUUUUUACAUUUUACUGAAAGUGUCUUAGCAAUUUAUAAUUAAUAGCAUUAGAUUUAAAUUUACAAAUUUUCUAUUUGUUUUCUGUUUUUCUCUAUUUUUUGUUUCUUUUCUUUUCUUUUACUGCCUUCUUUUGUAUUAAGAGAGUAGUUUUAUGGUCCCAUCAUAUUCCAAUAUUGGUUUAGGGAGUUCCCGUCAUGGCUCAGUGGAAAUGAAUCUGACUAGCAUCCGUAAGGAAGCAGGUUUGAUCCCUGGCCUUGCUUAGUGGGUUAAGGAUCUGGCGUUCCUGUGAGCUGUGGUGUAGGUUACAGCUACAGCUCCAUUUUGACCCCUAGCUUGGGAACCUCCAUAUGCUGUGGGUGCGGCCCUAAAAAGAC